rnacentral:rRNA from 1 species
UACGGAGGGGGCUAGCGUUGUUCGGAAUUACUGGGCGUAAAGCGCACGUAGGCGGCUUUGUAAGUUAGAGGUGAAAGCCCCGGAGCUCAAUCCGGAAUUGCCUUUAAGACUGCAUCGCUUGAAUCCAGGAGAGGUGAGUGGAAUUCCGAGUGUAGAGGUGAAAUUCGUAGAUAUUCGGAAGAACACCAGUGGCGAAGGCGGCUCACUGGACUGGUAUUGACGCUGAGGUGCGAAAGCGUGGGGAGCAAACAGG